UGAAAGGCUACGUUUGCGAGCUGGCCGAAAAUGCGACGAUGCCGCUCUUCACUCCGCACGGCUCAAGCGCGCAACGAGGCGUUUGUGUCAAUUGAUAAAUUUCUAUUAAAUUUCAUUUUACCAAACGUCACUGUCAUUUUGAUUGACCGGCACGCGGCACCGGCACUUUGGCAAAGAGCAUAUAAUCACUACCUACGUUCUUGGCAGUUUGGCGGCAGUCUUGUUGUUUCUUGUUUCGCUAUUUUGAUUCUAAUAGUGAACUUUAUCGAGAGAAUGCCACAAACAUCCCGAAAAGAUUAUAAAAACCAUCAAUACUCAGGCCCGAGAAAGAGUCGGAAACGCAGCCAUGGGCAAAUGAAACGAUAUCACGGAGAAAUCAAAAGAUCCAGGACCAACUGCGGCCACUGCGGGUGACACAAAUGAUGAAAUGUCACUUCAUUUGUUACAUUGCCCCAAGUUAUGGCAUUACAGUUUUGGAAGUAGAGCAUGAUGAAACUUUUAUAGAAAAGAUGUUGCCAAAACUGGUAAACUUUUAUAAAAAUUGUAUAUUGCCCGAGAUGGUACUGCGAAGAACAAGGAAAAAUCUAAAAUGUAUAGAUGUUUCUUUGUGGUAGUAAAUGUAAAUA